rnacentral:rRNA from 1 species
CACGUAAGGAACCUGCCUCAAGGAUUGGGAUAACUCCGAGAAAUCGGAGCUAAUACCGGAUAGUUCUUCGGACCGCAUGGUCCGAUGAUGAAAGGCGCUCCGGCGUCACCUUGAGAUGGCCUUGCGGUGCAUUAGCUAGUUGGUGGGGUAAUGGCCUACCAAGGCGACGAUGCAUAGCCGACCUGAGAGGGUGAUCGGCCACACUGGGACUGAGACACGGCCCAGACUCCUACGGGAGGCAGCAGUGGGGAAUAUUGCACAAUGGGCGAAAGCCUGAUGCAGCCAUGCCGCGUGUGUGAA